rnacentral:rRNA from 1 species
AACGAACGCUGGCGGCAUGCCUAACACAUGCAAGUCGAACGAGACCUUCGGGUCUAGUGGCGCACGGGUGCGUAACGCGUGGGAACCUGCCCUUAGGUUCGGAAUAACUCCCCGAAAGGGGUGCUAAUACCGGAUAAUGUCUUCGGACCAAAGAUUUAUCGCCUUUGGGUGGGCCCGCGUUGGAUUAGCUAGUUGGUAGGGUAAAAGCCUACCAAGGCGACGAUCCAUAGCUGGUCUGAGAGGAUGAUCAGCCACACUGGGACUGAGACACGGCCCAGACUCCUACGGGAGGCAGCAGUGGGGAAUAUUGGACAAUGGGCGAAAGCCUGAUCCAGCAAUGCCGCGUGAGUGAUGAAGGCCUUAGGGUUGUAAAGCUCUUUUACCCGGGAUGAUAAUGACAGUACCGGGAGAAUAAACUCCGGCUAACUCCGU